GGCUGUCCAGCCCCGGCCGCCGCCCGCCGCGCAGUGAGUUACCGACUACCUUCGGGGCGGCCGCGGGCGCAGGCACAGUGCGUGUGGCUCGGUGUCCGCCGCGGCGCGCCCUGGCGGGACUUCACCCCGCGCCCCGCCGCCCGCUCGCUAAGGCUGCCCGCCGGGCAUUUUUGAUCAUUUCGAUUGUCCCUCCGGCUCGAAAGCUGCAGAGGAGCUGGGAUCUUGCAUCCGAAGCGAGGGCACCAGCCGGUAUCUGCUAGGCAGGAGCGGCCAGAGUCGCGUUAGGGCGGCCUUGGGCAGGGCGCUUCGGUUUGGCCUCUCUUUGGCUCCUGGGGGAGCCUGCGGAGGCCCAGGGCCGGUCUCUGGCUCUGCACUUGAUGGCCUCCUAUCUAGGGGAAGGGCCAAUUAGUAUCCCACCCGCUCCCUCGCCAUUGUAGCUCAGUUCAUCCCCAAAGAACCCCGUGGAGUGGCAAGGGCAGGCAUCAUCCAAUCCAUUUGGCAGAGGACAUCAAAGCUGAGGUUCAGUUUCAAGCACUGUGCUCAGCUCUGGAUAUACAAUGGUGAGAAAAAUCAGAAAUGGUCUUUGUACUCAUGAAGCAUAGUGGAGUAGAAAUACAUUAAUAACAUAUUUCCACCUACACAAGUAAAAUUAUACCUGGGAUGAAGGAACGGCUGAAGAGGGGCCUGAAGGAGAGGUGCCGAUGCUAUGAGAAGAUAUGAUGCUGGGUGGAGUCGGGGCCCUGGGGCCAGUGAAGGCUUGUCUAAGGAAGUAAUGAUUGAGUUGAGUCUAAAGGAUGAAGAAGAAAAGGCUUUCUAGGAAGCAGGAACUGCACAUGCAAAUGCCCUGCAGCAGGAUGGAGCAGGAGUGUUUGGAAUCCACAAGCAGGCCCUGUGGUUGCAGUGCCCAGAGCAAGAUGACUCAUGACGCUGAGGGGAAAGGCCGAGGGGCAGGCACAGCCAGGCCACUCAGGACCUUGUACAUUGGAGACCUUGCUGAAGAUUUGGCUGUUUUUCCUAAGAACGGUGAGAAAUCACUGAAGGGUUUAAAGUGUGUGUGUGUGUUGGUUGGGGGUGGUGGGGGCAAUCAGUCUUUGACGUGGCUGUUCCGUAGACUACCAGGGUUCCUCCAUCCAAGUGGCUAAAUGGUUAAAAUAGUUAAAAUUAAUUAGGGAAAGGACAAUGAAAAUAUUAACAAUUACAAAAGGUAGCUCUUAUAGUCUUAGUUCUCUUCUGUCUGCUGAUGGAAUAAAUGUAGUAUUAAAGACAGAAGAGUGGGGAGCAAAAUUUAUGGCCAAAUAGAUUUUUGAGGAAUCUUUCUAGAAGUUGGUACUCAAUAAAGAACAUAAACUGCAAAGCCAGUGUAUUUAAAGCACUCUUCUAGGCUCUGUGGGCAGAAAAAAAGGAAACCACAAGAAUGUUCUUCCCCCUUAGGGAGCUUAGAUGUUAAAUGAGAGAGCACAGGACAGACCCAGGAACAUGUUCAACAAGUACUGCUGCUGAGAUAUCCAGACAGAUGGUAAUAUGCAACCUUCCCUGAGCAAAGUCCAUGUCUGAAUCAUUUUUUUUUUAUUAUUAUACUUUAAGUUUUAGGGUACAUGUAUACAAUGUGCAGGUUAGUUACAUAUGUAUACAUGUGCCAUGCUGGUGCGCUGCACCCACUAACUCGUCAUCUAUCAUUAGAUAUAUCUCCCAAUGCUAUCCCUCCCCCCUGCCCCCACCCCACAACAGUCCCCAGAGUGUGAUGUUCCCUUCCUGUGUCCAUGUGUUCUCGUUGUUCAAUUCCCAUCUAUGAGUGAGAAUAUGUGGUGUUUGGUUUUUUGUUCUUGCAAUAGUUUACUGAGAAUGAUGAUUUCCAAUUUCAUCCAUGUCCCUACAAAGGACAUGAACUCAUCAUUUUUUAUGGCUGCAUAGUAUUCCAUCAUGUAUAUGUGCCACAUUUUCUUAAUCCGGUCUAUCAUUGUUGGACAUUUGGGUUGGUUCCAAGUCUUUGCUAUUGUGAAUAGUGCCACAAUAAACAUACGUGUGCAUGUGU